rnacentral:lncRNA from 1 species
AAUAACAGAACUUGGAAAUGAUGUCUUGAAGAGGAUUAAUUAUGAAGAUCUGAUCGAAGAUUUCAUUUCAAGAAAUACUAGAAGAAUGUUGCUUUUUGAUAGAAAAUGAGGUCAAUUUUAAAAGUUUAUUACUUUAGUACCAUGUUUACUAUUCUACCAUUAGUAUUUGAUAUGUUUCCUAAAUGUUCUACCAAAUUAGUAUUUGAAAUUAAAUAAUUAAGUGAGAGUAU